AUGUUGGUUAAGUCCCGCAACGAGCGCAACCCUUGUCCUUAGUUGCCAUCAUUUAGUUGGGCACUCUAAGGAGACUGACCGGUGUUAAACCGGAGGAAGUGGGGAUGACGUCAAGUCCUCAUGGCCCUUAUGUCCAGGGCUACACACGUGCUACAAUGGCCGGUACAAAGGGCAGCAAAGCCGCGAGGUGGAGCCAAUCCCAGAAAGCCGGUCUCAGUUCGGAUUGCAGGCUGCAACUCGCCUGCAUGAAGCCGGAAUCGCUAGUAAUCGCGGAUCAGCAUGCCGCGGUCGAAUACGUUCCGGGCCUU
rnacentral:rRNA from 1 species